GAAAUAUUGAAUGCUUUGGAGAGCUGGGUGACAGAAUUUUUUUCAGAGAUUGCAAAUAAAUCAGGUUGUUUCCUGAUAUUUUUCCAUGUCUGUAACUUUUGAAAUCAAACACAGAGAAUUUUACACAACUCUUUUUCCUUGCAUCUGCAGAGGCUUAAAUUCUUACUGAUUCCCAUAUCACAGAAAUUACUUUUGCCGAGGCAAGUUAAGACAAUAUGAUCUCCGAAAGUUAAAAAAAUCCCUAAAAUACUUCUUUGAAAUAUGUUCCAUAACAUUUAGAGUGCUCCAUGGUGUGGAUCUUGGCAUAUAAAUCCUUGUUAGGCCUGUGUUAUUUCUUCAGUUGCUAGGAAGAGAAUUUUGGUCUGUUUACUGGGAGGUGCUGUGUUAACCCUUAGCUUUGAAUUUUAGUGCACUAUUUAGGAGAAUUUGUAUUUUGAAAUUUCAAUAUGGAUGAGGUUCAUCUACUCGUUUAAAAAUACACCUCUCUAAAAAUGAGCAUUGUUUUGAUGCCAAGUCAGGCAACCUUUUUAGUCUGACCUGGGGUUUGCUCUCCUCACAGGGCUGAUUCAUUAACCAGCCCAAGCGUUCUUGGUCUGGUUAAUGAUUGAAAAAACCUUAUUUGCUUUCAAGGCAGUUCUCACUCACGAGUGAGAACUUUUUCAGGCAGGCCCUGAAAAAUUUGGUGUGUUUUCUGUAUUAGAAGAACAAAAUCCUAAGCCUAGCAUAGACUCCUGUGUGUAAAUGAGUGCCUGAAAAGGAGAAAGAUUUGUGGAAAUUAAUAGAAAGCAGGACUGGAAGGGUCUGUCAUUGUUCAUCCCCCUGCCCUCAGACAAGGUCGGCUCUCCCGUGUGAAUAUUUGUGUGAGUUUUAGGGAAGCUUUUUAGUUUUCAUUGAUUCUGAUUCCCUGUUUUUUCUACAGGUUGUUUUUAUGUCAAAUGCAAGUUUAUAAUGUAUUUGACUUUCUCAUUUAAAAAGUCAGCCCCCAUCUGAAUCUGCUGUGUUUGGCAAGGCUGGAAGUUGGGGUGCAGUGGUGAAUGAGAACUGAGAAGAAUAUCUGGGGUCCAGUACUGAUGAAUCCAACUCUUUAGAAUUUAUUGCCACAAAUAAUUUAAGAAAACAAAUAUGACUUACUAAAAUGGUUAAUAUAUUUUUCACGGUUGAACUGUGUCUUGAACUUACACAAAAUAGGAUUUUCUUUUAUUUAAAAAUAGAUGUGUGUUAAUUCUCACUUCAAAAUUUUACAGAGAUAGUUAUGAGGACUGCCAUGGGGGAGUUUGUCUCCAGUGGUUGCUUCUGAGGAAGAAUCUGCACAUUUAGACUGAAAUUAGCUUUUGUGAAUUGUCCUCUAAGUAGUUCCCCAAGAACUACAUAAGAAAGAGAUAUUUUAUGUUUCAGGCUCUUCAUUUCAACAUUAGCCAAGUGCUGUAUUCUAGUCAUGUAUUUUUGUGUAAACUCAUUUUAUUUAAGCAAAUCUUCCAAACUCUUCAAAGGUGCCCCUGGUGGCAGGGAGUGAGCACAGGUAUUUAUUAAGCCUUCAGCCCAUGGCCUUCCUAUAGAGGUGGGUUAUGUGUCUAUAAAUGUGGAAGUAAGCAAAAGAGUUGGAUAUUUUACCUCCCUGAUUGGAAGGACAUCCUGGUUGUGCUGAGCUGCUCAAGAUGAUACUUCAGACAAGGGCUACAAACAAACUUUUCUUUGCUUCCAUUUGGCCUUGCUUUAUCUUCGAUAAAUGUUGUUCUGGUUUUUUUGCCUUUUAUUUGAAAUGCUUAACCAAAUUUGUUUGUUUGUUUGUUUGUUUUUUAAAUCCAAGCUCUGGCAGAACCUUCUGACACACCAGAAUUUCACACGCUUUACAGAGGAUGCUGUGGAGACACAGGGCUGGUUUGGAUGGGCAGUCAAAUUCCAGCUGAAAUAUCCACUCCUAUUCCAGCCCCUGCCUGUGUGGUCCUUGCCCCUGGUUUUAGGGCUAUGUCACAGAUCUCUGAUGGCACCUACAGAAUCUGUCUUGGGGAAGUUGUGUGCAGUUUCCUGUCUGUGCUGGCACAAACCUCUGAUUUAGGAAGAACAAAAGAGCUUUAAUCACUUAAAACACCCAAUCACUUUGCAUCCUGCAGUAGAAUAAGAAAGGUCAGGCAAUAACUUAUGUUCAGAAAGAAAACUUCAGUUGAAUGGAUUUGGUUUAUUUAACAGUAAAGGUCAUGGAUUUUGUUCCUUUCUUCUCACAUAAAUUGAUUUUGUAAAGAUGAAGUUGGUUUAUCAGCAUUUGUGUUCUUCUGCUUUGUUAUUUCAGUACCAAAGAAAAGGUCAUCUUCUUGCUGGGUGUCUGAUAUUCCAUGGUCCAUUAAAACUGCAUUAUUUCUGCUGAGGCUGAAUUUCUUUUCUUGCACUUUUUUCUUUAUUUCCCCCCUAACUUCACUUGUCCCAAGUGAACUCAGCUGCAGCUGGGUGGUUUGUCCUGCAGUCUGGUAUAUCAAAGGUGCCUGCAUAGGGUUGUAUCUGUCUUAUUUGGGUUAUGUAGGAAAACAUUUUAACAGAGCAAGGGCAUGAUAUUUUAGUCAAAGCCUGUCUGCACAACCCAGCUUUCAACCCAGACAAUUCCAAAGACAGUGUCCUUGGAACUUUCCUGGAGCAGUGAGAAUGAACAAAAACAGUGAUGUUGCGUACAAGAAAAGGAAUGAUAAACAAAAUGUAUUAGCCAAUAGUAACUUGUUAAGCCAUGUGAACCCUGUAGGGCCCUAUAAGAGUGUGCUAAAGAUAGAAAUAAAGCAAAGUUCACUUUUAUCUCCAUGAGAACUCUGUGAAUAUUCUGAGCAGUUUUCCAUUAGGGUUAUAGAAACAUGACUGUCUUGGAUGAGCUAGCCUGAUAAGACAUUUAGGGUCAUACAGAUUUUUUUUUUCAGGUUUUGUUCAGUAUUCAAGAGCUUGAAGAGAUACCCACUUUUACUUUUAUAUUAUUUUAGUAUUUUUAUUUUAGGGGAGUGAAUUGCAUUCUGUUUCAAAAUGAAGUGUCAGUAGAAUGACUGAGUAAGAAACUUACUCAGUACAAUGACUGAGUAAGAAAGAAAGAUGAAAGAAAGAUGAAAAUAUUUAAAAAUAUGGAGGUCUGAUGGGAAAAGUAUUAUGUGGCUCUUCUGCUAAGGAAAUCGUAUUUUCUUUACAGCCAGCUCAUCACUGACUUGUUUGCUUUCAGUUCUGCUCCGGCAGUCUUUGAGGUGGUCAGAGAAUUGAAAAAGAUUUACUUCAAUGUGCUCAUCCAGUCACAAGUCUUGAGAUAAAUGAGUGUCAAUGAGGAAAGGCUUAAAUUUGGUUGAGAAAAGGAAUGAAUCACCUUUGUCUUCCUGUGUUGUCACAGUAGUGCAAAGAAGGUGGAGUUGCCUUUUUAUCAGAAAUUACCAUGCAGCUCUUUGCUCCUCUGGUUGAAUGUAGUGAAUGCCAGCACAAUAAUUAUAUGUGAACACAAUUUUCAAACUGCCAAAUAUUUUUGCUUUAUACUAAGUGCUGGUAGUAAUGAUCAGGUGCCAAAGGCUGACGUGUAUUCACAUCUAAAAAGUUAUCCUCUGUACUUUUUCUUUAUAGUUUCUUUAUAGUUUCUUUAUUCUGUUUCUUGUCAGCAGCACCUGUGUGUAUGUACUUGGAGGUUAAAAUUCCUCCUUUUAGAGGAUUAACAAAUCUGAAUAAGUUUCAGCUGGGGCCAUCAGCCUCCCACAGUUCCAGCCCAGCUGCUCUUAGUUUCUAAUUGCCAUUGUUCUCAGAUCGUUCCCAUUUCAUGUUCCUUCCUUAGCAGUUCAUCUCAUCCUCCCCGGAAACAAAUCCUGUACUUUGAUCAGCAUUUACUGAGGAGAUUCUGGAGGCUGCUGCUGCAGAGGUGGGGGUAAGUAGGCAAAACUGGUAUUGUGGAAAAUCAGUGUAACCCAGCAAAGUCACUGCUUGAUUUGGAAAAUAUGGAGUCCCUGUAGGCCCCCCAAAACAAGAAGUACUCUCUACAGUCUCAAAAAUGUAAUAGUUAAUACUUUAUGAAUACAAUUUCAAAUCUUGUUGGAGAUUCAUUUGGUCUGAUGACAUAAAUAUUCUGAUAGCGCUUUGCUGAUUUUUCUCAAAUGAGGGAAUGGUAAUCAAAAUAAUGUAUGGCUGUGGACUCCUGCCCUGCAGGAGCACCUGAAGGUUAUUCCUCUUUGGCUUUGUUCUUUUUAAGGCGGUUAUCCCGGGCUGCCUUUCUGCUGCUCGUAUCCCCAGUUGUCCGUUCUGUUUCUGCUGGGUGUUGAAUUCUGCCCCUCCCAAAGCGGCUCCGGAGCGAGGGGAGGGACAGAAGGAGCCGCGGUUUGUUUUGAGGAGCAGCCUCAGCCCGCCCCGCUCCGGCCUGUGCUGUCUGCAGCACGGACACAGCGUUUAGUUAUGGUUUAGCUGGCUGAGGAAUUCCCCGGACGCUGUUUUCCUUUUUCCUUGGAUCUUUCCAAGCCUGCUCUGGACUGCAAAGCCAGACAAAGCCUGGGAGCUCCCACCUGUGGCUCAGCGGGGCUGGGCCUCGGCACUUCCCAGCGCCGGAGGGACCGAGAAGAGACUGAGCUGCGGCCCACGGCAAGGACUUCCUGAAUUUGCCAUCUCUUCCAACAGCGAGAGGAUUUCUGCCUUGAAGUGACUCAUUGAAAUGAAAAGGCUUCUGUAUACCUGCUGAUUAGAAGGUGCUGCUCCAGUAUUUAGGAUUAAAUUGGGCUCUUUGUAGCCAGCCUGUGUAGGUCACACAGAUGGUACACAGGUCCCUGAGGGAAGAGGGAGAUAAUUCUGCAUCACAUUAAUACGUAAGUGUAAAUGGUGAUGUUCGUUUGUGUUUUGGCCAAGGUGUGAGCAGGUGUUUGAAAGUUUAGUGGGUUUAGUCCAUCCUUCUUCGGGUUCACCAGGCUUGUCUGCAAGGUCUGAAGCAGUGUGGGAGUGGAAAAAUGCCAGCUGCUAUGAAAGGGGUACAUUUUGACUAAAUUCAAGAAGUAUUGCAGAUAGGUGUGGAGGAGCCAUGCUUCACUUUCCUGGUUUCCAAGGGAACACCUGUCUUGGCUCACCACGGGAAGUGCAGCUCCUGUUCAGCUGGGUUUCCCUGAGUGAUUUGUCCUGUAUAUCCUGUUGCUAUGGGAAACCAUAACUGUGGCUAAUUCCAGGCACAGUGUAGCUGAAAGUCCAGAGUAAUGUGUUACAAACAACACAUCCUCAUCAUAUGGUCCUGUCACAGCUUCUCAAUUAAUUUAUCUAGGUCUGCAGAUGGCCCGUGUCUUUGGUUGUGUAUAAAUCGGGCUUGGGGUGCAGAUAGGGAUAUCUGUGUAUAUUUGCAUUACUUAGAGUCUAUUCUAGGCCAGUGAUCAUACUUUGAAUAUCAUAUGUUCUCUAGUUUAAUCAUCUUGGUGCCUUAAAUAUUCAUGGAAUCAUGGAAUGGUUUGGAUUGGAAAGGACCUUUAAGAUCAUCUAGUUCCAACCUCCUGCCAUGGCAGUGAUAUCUUCCACUAGAUUAGGAUAUUCCAACUUGGCCUUGAAUGCUUCUGGGAAUGGAGAAGCUCCAACCUCUCUGUGCAGCAAAUAUUGUAGUUCUGUGAGCUUCUGUAAACUGACAACAUGACUGAAGAAAAUACCAAAAUGUUCUUUAUUUGGUGGUUGUGCAUGUGAGUUGUAAUGAUUAAAGCAUCACUGCUUAUUUAUGUCCUGGGCAUAGCCAAGGCAAAGGAACAGCUGUAACUGGCUUUGGGGAUUGAGCCAAGCCCUUGUUUUUGUCCUUUAAUCUGCAGGAGACAAAGUAGGUUUUUAUUAUUAGAGUCUGUAUGAAAAAUUCUUAAAUCACCUUUAAAAAAAAAAGGAACAAACAAGGAGAGAUGUAGUUUGGCAAGUUGAUGCCUUACUGCACUGUAAUGGAGCACAUGUCAGCUGAAGUCCAAAAGGGAAAAAAAAAGGUUUUAUUUUGGCCUUUCCUGCAAAGACCUCUGUAGCAAGAGAUUCUGCUAACUUCACUUGCUCCUCUGCAGGCUGCCAGCCACUGAUGUAAUUGAGAAAGUUUUAACUUCUCCAUAACUUCUCUUGCCACUGAUACCUUUAGGGUCAAAGUAAUAUGAAGUCAGUUCGUGGGGUAAGGCUUUUUGAAUGUGACACCCAUUUUAGAUAUUGCUAAAACCAAUGCCAAUUUCCAAUAAUUUUGAGUCAGCUUUUCAUUACAGGAAGUCUAGAAGUCAACUUUAGCCUUUGUAAGAAAAUUUCUGUCUGUGAAACUUAGAUGUAAAUAUUAUCUUCCAAAUAUUGUUUAUUUUUCAUUUCAAGGUGCUCUCUUUGCUUAGACCUUACUUAGGUCUGUGCCUUAUUAAUAAAAUAUGUAGAUUCAGGGAUUUUUCUUGAAUGUUUGGUUGUAAGGCUUUCCAUCAUCUUUUAUGUGUAAUGGCUUGAAUUAAAUUAAUGUAUGUGUUUUUAGCUGAGUCCCAGUGGGGGAAUAUAUGUAUGAAAAUAAAUUACUGCAGUUGGAACUAAUUGAUUCUUUGAUUGGUAGACUCAGCAGAUGAAGUCCUGAAUAGGGUAAUGUGGAAUGUCUUUGCAAUUUGGCCUCAGUUGUACCUGGCCAAGAACUGUAGGUAAAAAUCUUUUACCUCUUUUACCCGACUUUGUAGCCUUGAGGCAAGGGCUGAAGAACUGAACUGAUGUGAACACAAAAUUAUCAGUCCAGCCUUGUGCAAUCCUGUCCUUGGAGCCAGGCAGAUACUGAACUAUCUGGGAGAUUUGCUUGUUUCACUGACACAGCUUCAGCUCCCCACUAAGGCACUGCCUUAUCACCACUGACAAGAUUACAGUGAUUUCCUUGAUGUGUGGGGAAUUUAGCAGGCUAAUCCUGUAAAGAAUGUUCUCCCACCGAGGUACAUGGAGAUUUGAAUGCUGCAAAUAAUGUGAAAAAAAAAAAGUAUCGUUUUUUAAAGCAUGUUAAUUCUCAUUCUGCUUGCUGAUGCAGGUACAGGUUAGCAUUACUGCCCUCCUGUAAAAGCUCAGAACUCGGCCUGGACUGGUGCUCGUUGAGUUCCUCUGGAAGCUGGGAUGAGAAAUCCACAUUCAGCACUGCGAGGCAUACAGGCCACCUUCUGGGGCCAAUACCGAUUCAUUUAAAUUUGCACAAAUAACGCAGAAAUAGUUUAAAAAUGUAGAUGAUUUGGGAGGCAUUCUGCAGUGGUUUCGGUUUUUGGAGCAGCAGGGAUCGCUGGAGCUGGGCAGGCCGAUGGUUUCUCCUCCCCGCCCGGCAGUGGCGAGCGCGGCGGCGGCGCUGGGAACAGCUCGGCCGGAAAGAGCUCGGCCCCGGCCACUCCUCCCGAGCACAGCCCUGCGGGCUCCCCGGAAAGAGCUCGGCCCCGCUGGGCAGGAGCCCCGAACAGGCUCCCCGAAAAGAGCGAGCGCCCGCCAGGCCAGCCCCCAGUUACCUGUUCAAGGCCAGAAGCCAAAAGAAAGCUUUCUUAGCGUUACAGAUAUAUAGCAUAAUAGUGGCUUUUGGAAUGUAUUAACAUGAAUGGCCUAUGUCUAAUGCUAAAACGGCUUUGCUGUAAUUGUCGAUAUAGUACGUUUGAACUGCCUGCUUAGUUAGGAUAACAUUCAGUGAACAGAUGAUGGGGACCCUGCUGAUUAUCAACACUCGCUGUCUGUGGAAAGGAGGAGCCAAGCUCAAAAGGCGGUAAGAAGAGGAUUAAAACCACAAGCCAAGAAACACACAUGCUUUAAAAAGGUGACCCAGGAAAUGGCUGUGCUAAACAGCACCUGGAAAAUAUAAAUUAGUUAAUAGAAAAGUUUGAAUAUGCAUAAAGUCUGUGAAUAAGCAUCAAGUUGAUGCAAUAGAAAUGGAAUGUAAAGGGUGUUUCCAAAACAGCAGGGGUGCUCUUGGCAGAGUUCCAAGCACCCAGCCGUUUUAACCCUCUGCUUUAUUGUCUUUGUCUCCUAUUGUCUUUUUUAUUAAACCUUUUAAAAUUUCCCUCAACUCUGAACGUCUUUUUUCACAUUAGACUUAUUUGUUUUUAAAAUAUAGAUCUCACAGAGACAGAUCUAAAUAGUUUAAUCAGUUGUCAAUUCUUAAAAUUAGCUAUUAGUUUUUUCUAGGUACAAAAGGAGCUCUGAGUAGCUCUUUUCAGAAAAACAAUUUCUGUAGGCAGUUUUUUUUAUUAAAUAUUAGUUAAUGCAAAACUAGCACACAUCUUAAUGCCCAGGUAGGUUUGGGACUCUCUUAUGAGGGUCUUUCAGUUUUUUGUGCUGUCCUUGCUGUUUAGACCUGGAGAGAAUUUUGUUGUUUCACUUUUUUUCUUUGUUACCAUAUUAGUUUGCCAAAAUAGUUAAAUGAAAAGGAAGAAUGUUUUGAAGUAAGAAAAACCUAUUUCCAAUUAGAAAACUAAACCACUGAUAUUUACCAGUACAUCAGUCCAUAUUAGUUUGGUAAUAAUUCUUUGCCUGAAAAGUUUUACCUGCUUGGCUGCUUCCUUUGGGACCAAGAAUUGACUGAAAGAGAAUUUCAGUAAUUGCACUGCAUCCAAGGGCUUUGAACAACAUGUGAUGGGGAAAGGUUGUAUUGUAUUAUCCAGGAUUUCCUUUUUUUAAGAGACAGGGGAGAGCAAGCUAACAGUGUGUUAGUGCUCUGAGUCACUUAUGUGUCCAGCCAGAACUGUUGUCAUACUUUCAGAACCUUCUUCUGGCUUUAUUUCCAUGAAAGGGAAUGUUUGUAUGGUUAAAGGAAGUUGAGCCUGCCUCUUGAGAUUCCAGAAAUAGCAGUAUUUCUGUCUUUUUUUUUCCAAGAGGAGGGUGUAAGUGUGGCUCUAAGGAAUGUUGCAGUUUCCGUAGAUGUUUUACCAAAAGCUUGAGGAAGAAACUGAGUCAUUCACAAUUAACUGUUGAAUAGUCCAGCAUGUGGCAGUUCAGGUUAAAAACCCCACCAGUUGUGUAGUGAGCACUGUUCAGUUCUGGGACAUUUUCUCAUGCUGGGUAAGGACUGGUGUACAACAAAAACCAGGAAGUUUUACUUGGCUGCAUCACUGAUGGGAUUAUUCAGCUCCAGGAAAUGAAACUGGUGCUGUUUUCCAUGUGAUUCUCAGAUGACCAAAAGCAACGUGGCAGAAAAAGACAAUUCAGAACAAAGCGUUCUGUUUUGAACAUUGCACCAUCCUUACACAGCACUGCUCCCACAUCCCACUCUGGAUUUGGGCAAUAAAGAAUUACGGAAAACUCAGACCAAAGUAUGAUACAGUCCCGUUUCAGACACCAUGAAGAAAUCAGUUCAGUAAUCCCAGAUAAAAAAAUUUAAUCUUUCUAUAGAAACAGUGCACUGUUUUACAAACGUGAUCAUUUGGUUUCCAGUACAGCAAGUGUUACACAGAGCCCCCCGCCCCUCCCUGGGCCUUUUGUCUGGAAGGUAAGAACUGAAACACAAAAGGCACCAAGCAAGAACUUACUCUAACAGAACUUCAGUAUGACAAGACAGAGCAGAAAUGAUUACGAUGUUAAAUAUCACCCUACCAAUCUGAACCAUUAUUUAAAAUAAUUAAUUUCUUAAAAAACAAAUUUGGUGUUUGAUUCUCAGUAGUUAUAAAUCUGUAAAGGUUGAAAUCAGCACUGCAUGUUGAGUUCAUUUACAAUGGUUUGAAAAAACCUGCAGCCUUUUACACAUGGUUUGUACAGGUUGGUUUGUGUGUUCUUAAAAAAGUAUCAAAACUGUAGAACUUUCAUAUAUAUUUACAUUCGUCUGUUAGUUACAGUGUUAUCACAUACAGCCUUUCUCAGCUUUUUUCUUCAUGCACACAGUGCAUGGAUUUGUAGAAAGAGCUUCAUACCUUAAAACAAUAAUGGGAUAUCUCAUUUUGUCACUGCCUUAAAAUCUAAAAUUUAGACUAAAAGGAUGCUUGAUUAAUUCUGUAUUAACUGUGCAGGCCAUGAGGCAUUUGAGAGUAUGUAUAAUGUCUGUAAUGCAUACCAGGGCUUUACAUCAUUUUUUCCUUCUCUUAGUCAAGAAUCAGCUUCCAGCUCACAUAACUCUGUAAAUUCAUUCUAAAAUAAAGGAAAACAAAAGGAAAAA